CUCCUGUUCGCUUCUGGUUCUCAGAACCAAAAGUGUUGCAACCAGAAGGAGCUCAGAGCUCAGGAGUUUGAACUGGCUCUGUGUGAACUAAAAUCCAGAUGCCUAGACUCUGGUCACCAAUCAGUUGAUAUUGAAAGUCAAGUGCCCUCAGGGAUGGGACUGGCUUUAGACCUCAAGGAACACAGGAUGGUGUGUUCUCCUAACCACCAGGAGUUCCAAGUGGCUAAACACGUCUGUUGUCAAAAUGAUAUCCUCCAGCACGGGGUGAGGAAUGCAGAUCCCAGAAGGCUUAUUAGAUCUGUAGACCCGGAUCCCGGCUGGGGAUUGAACCGCAUCUCAAACGGACUCUUCAAUCUUUAGGCAACAUGUCCCAGAAGACUGGAAAACGUUUCUCUAACAAGAAAACUGAGGUCUUGAAAGGGCCCCGGCCUGAGCCAGAAACAGUUGUCCCUACCCCCUCAACCCUAGCUCUGUUUGGUGACUGUGGUGGGGUUGCCAGGGGAACCAGGCUGUGCAACUUCCUGGCUUUGGCGUUUUUCCCCGAUGUUGGCCUUAUCUCGGCAUCCGCCACCCAGUCCAGGGCUUCGUGCUGGUCACGUAGGAGGGGAAGUGGGUGCCAGGCGUGUCGAGGACACCAAGAGAACACUGGCCCAAAGAACACAGCAUGGGAGAGCUUCCUCCUGGCCCUCCAAGACUGGAUUUUGGCUAGGAACCAGACUCAGAAGAGACAGCUUUGCUGAGGAUCAAAUGGAUACCCCCUAAAAUGGAAGCAGAGGCUGUAGAAGACCUAGGAGAUGGAGGUGACUCCUGGCCUCAGGAACUCUGAGGACUGAGUGUAGAAGUUCAGAGAGAUCAUGAGGAGUUGCCUUAUGCAUGUAACACAAAUCCCUCUACAAGAAUGUAGCGUCUCAUCUCAGUCUCUGUCCGUGAGCAGCCACCUCAUCCUGUUUCCUUCCUCACUUAGCUACAUAGUGUCAUUCCUCCUAGUGCUGGGAGGCUGGGUUCCUCCUAGUGCUGGGAGGCUGAGUUCCUCCUAGUGCUGGGAGGCUAGGUAUCUCCAGGCAUUUCAGAGGGGCAGGAGGAAGGGGAGGACAGGGAGUGGCAGAGAGCCAGUGUCCCCCCCUGGAGAUAUGCUUAACUGAGAAGCCAGACUUUAUUUUAAUAGCUCUGCUGGACUCUGUCUCCCAGGCUCCUCCCACUAAAUGUGCUUACUCAUCAGAGUCAAACUUCCUGCAUCUCCUGCCUCAGCUAGUGUUGGGGCUCAAGGGCCAGCAGGGUGAUUGGCCAGGCACUCUUCAGGGUUCCAAGGGAUGAAAAGGCUGUUUCAGGGUCAAGUCCAAACCAGAACGGACAGGCUGGGCUUGCCUUCAUGCCUCUCCUGGAUUCUGACCCCUGGGUAGCAAUCUAGGCCUUAUUCUGGGGGCUUUCCUGGGAGUGGUGCCAUGGUAGAAAGAGUUAGACAGCUGGAGGUAACUGCCUGAAGUCUCAGGAGAUAAGGGUAGGAUAUUGCUGUGCCUUUGAGCCAUAUUUUGCUGAGAAAGCUCCUUCUCAGCGCCUGGGUCCUGGCUGUGUGAGGCCCAAAGCUUAUGUAGUGUUGGAAGCUUCAGUUGAGAAAAGCAAUAUGAAAUUAUUAAUGCAAAAUUAAAUACAGAGACAAACACUUGUAAUAAUAAAGCUGGAAUAAUUACAAGCUUUAAGCA
rnacentral:lncRNA from 1 species